GGAUUCGUAGGUUGCGGAGGUUGGUGUUGAGUGAGGAUAGUAUGGAUGAGGACGAAUGUAAUGAGGCUAAUUCCCAAAGGAAGCGGGGUCUAAGUCAUGACAGCGAGUCAGAAGACGCGAGUGAACGAGUGGUGAGGAGGAAAAUGGAUCAGGACGAAUGGAAAGUGCUGGGUGCUGGAGCACAUCGGGGUGCAGGCGCUCGUGACCCACGCUGGACAGACUCGUCCUGUGCCUGGCGAUGAGGAGCCCCGAGGGGAAAGAGGCUCAGGUCUGUUACUUCAUCAUCCAGCUCCUCCUCCUCAAACCCAACGACUUCAGCAACCGCGUCAGUGAUUUCGGGAAGGAGAACGCUCCUGAACACUGGCUGCAGAGCGACUGGCACACCAAACACAUGACCUACCACUAGGUUCCUCUCGGAGGUGCUGAAGCCCAUCAUGAAGACAGAGUUCCAGCUGCUGUAUGUGUAUCACCUGGGGCCGUUUCUGCAGCGCUUCCAGCAGGAGAGGACCAGAUGCAUGCUGGAGUGUUUUUGAUCAAAUAAAUGCAGCACUGGUGAGCAGAAGAGACCGACCCCAAACCGUUGAACUGUUCAGAACCACAGAUGAUGACACUUGCUUGAGUCCUGUUAAACCAGAAGUGAAGUGUGCAGGUGGAGAGGAUCAUCUGCGUCUCCGUCUGUGCUUCAUCAGUCUCAUCAGUAAGAUGGAGCCGGUGGCAGCGGUGACCUCUGUCUCAGUCCUCUGUCUGUGGGUCAGUGAGCUCCUGCUGGACACAGAGCAUCUCAAGACUGAGCUUGACCAGCUGAAGACACCGGACACACGGAAUGAAGAUCAUGUGACGUGAUGUGUGUUUUAUGUAUGCUUUUUUUCAUUGAAUCAUGUUACUUUUUUUUUUUUUUACGUAAGAUAAAGACUGAUCAUGUGUUAACCAAAUGUGCAGAGUGGUUUCAUUUGUCCUUUAAUGUGUCUGUCAGAAUCAGAGCUACAAGCAUUACAUUGAUCAGAAGUAACCUCAGAUUCCUAUUUCAAAUAAAUGCUGCUCUUUCUGACUUUGUUCAUCUGUGAAUCCUGAAAAAAAAAUGUAUCACAAUUUCCACAGAAAU